rnacentral:rRNA from 1 species
AUUCGGAGCCAAACCUCUUGUCAAAACCUGUCCUUGUCAGAUCUCAGAAGCUAAACAAAGCCGGGUCUGGUUACUAAUUGGAUGGGAGACUGCUGGGAAUACAGAGAGGUGGAAGUG